rnacentral:rRNA from 1 species
CGAGCCAAGUCGUGAGGCGGAGCUAAUCCCUUAAAGCCAUUCUCAGUUCGGAUUGUAGGCUGAAACUCGCCUACAUGAAGCUGGAGUUACUAGUAAUCGCAGAUCAGAAUGCUGCGGUGAAUGCGUUCCCGGGUCUUGUACACACCGCCCGUCACACCACGGAAGUUGGGGGCGCCCGAAGCCACUUAGCUAACCCUUUUGGGAAGCGAGUGUCGAAGGUGAAAUCAAUAACUGGGGUGAAGUCGUAACAAGGUACC